AGGAGACGGAGGCCGUCGCCGUGGAGAAGACAAAGCAGUCACCGUCCGCCGGCAAGUCGCGAGACGACGAAAAGCCCCAAGAAGGCGGAAGCAACGUCCUAGGAACCCGUCGAGCCGCUGCGGUCGCCGUCGACGGGGAGGCGGAAGGAGUCGGCAAGGGGGAGGAGAGGGCGGAGGUCCGGAGGAGAGGAAGACUAGGAGAGGGGAGAGGGACUGAGGGAAUGGAGCUCGGGCGGCGCUCACAAAGACACAAACCCUAAGCGACGCCUUUUACGUCCAAUCAACCUCGCGGUGAAACUGUGAAACCGGACGGUGGACCUCGCGGUGAAAGCGGGCCGAAGCGGGGAGUUGGGCCGAGGCGGUGAAAGCGGGCCGAGGCAGGGAGUGAAAUUGAGUUUUCUCAUGACAGAAAGAUUAAUCAACAGAUACAAAUCCUUUUGACCUAACUACAGACCAUCUAACUGAUUUGCAACUCGGGCAACUUCAUUGUAUUUAAGUUGGUAGAUACAGAAAGUGAAAAUUACAGCAAACAUCAAAAUUGCCUAUAUGCAAAUGCAAUAAGGCUGAAGAAGGAAAAUUAUGAUUAAACCGUUUCUCAGAGGGGAUGUACCAUUGCUAUACAUUCUUAAAAUAGAAAAGAAACAUAGAUGAAGAUUAAAUUUUGAAGGCAUAACUAAGUGUUUUAAAAAUAUAUAAAGUAAUGCAUCAUUUUCAUAAUUAUUGUUUUAUGAGUUCACUUCACUUUGGAAACCAACUAGAGCACUAUACACCGCCAAGAUUUCUUUCCCAAUACUCGAAGUCGUCCCCAAAUGCUGGAGAGGCUUACAUUGUAUAAGCAAUAGGGGUGGUAAAAUAUGAUCCAACCCGCCAUAAACAGAUUUGGGUUUGGCUUAAACAGGUUCGGGUCGUAAACAGGUUGAUCCGUUUAACCUGUUUAUUAAUUGGGUCGGAUACAGAUUUUAAAUUUCUGACCCGUUUAAUCUGUAUAACCUGUUUAAUUGUUGGGCUAAUAUAUAAGGGCCAGCCAUACUCCCUGCCUCGGCCCGCUUUCACCGCCUCGGCCCAACUCCCCGCUUCGGCCCGCUUUCACCGCGAGGUCCACCGUCCGGUUUCACAGUUUCACCGCGAGGUUGAUUGGACGUAAAAGGCGUCGCUUAGGGUUUGUGUCUUUGUGAGCGCCGCCCGAGCUCCAUUCCCUCAGUCCCUCUCCCCUCUCCUAGUCUUCCUCUCCUCCGGACCUCCGCCCUCUCCUCCCCCUUGCCGACUCCUUCCGCCUCCCCGUCGACGGCGACCGCAGCGGCUCGACGGGUUCCUAGGACGUUGCUUCCGCCUUCUUGGGGCUUUUCGUCGUCUCGCGACUUGCCGGCGGACGGUGACUGCUUUGUCUUCUCCACGGCGACGGCCUCCGUCUCCUGCCCUAUCCGUGCGUUCUCUCCCCUUCUCCGCUAGUAGUAUAGUCAUGCUAUCUCUGAUUUCCUUCCGCCAUCUCUUUCUGUCUCUGUUUCUUGAUCUUAGGGAUCUUGGAUCUCAAAGCGGCGGAGGACGUGAGGGCGCUCUUUCUCUUCUUCAAAGCGGCGACUACUGUGGAGUCCAGCAGCGCUGCAGCAGGUAUGCCGGUGGAGGGAAAUGGUUUGGUUUUUACUUUUUAUGGUUUGAUUCAUGGCGAAGGCUAGGGCUUCCAGAUUUUUUCCCCCACCCGAAUCGAAGCCGUCGAUGAUUUCCGGAGAGAAAAAAAUUUGGGGAUGGCGCCUAGAAUCCUAGAUCAGAGAUUUUGAGGGCUCCCGUUUCCAUUUUCUUUUAUUUUUUCCAAUAAAAAAAUUGUAAUCUGUUAAUUUCUCUCCUCCCCUUGUUCCUCUCCGUGUUUUCUUUUUACUUAAUUUCUGGUUAAAUUUAUUUUUUUAAAAAAAUUGCUUGACCGUGUUAAUAUUGGUGGAUUUAUUGUUGGCACUGUCCAUGGCUUAUAUGCUAACUAUCUAAUUUAACUAUUUAAGUCCAAUAGUUAAACGAGUCGGGUUGGGUUAAAUGGGUUAGCUGUUUGUUAAACGGGUUAAACGGGUCGGGUUACCCAUUUAAUAAACAUGUCAGGUUCAGGUUGUAAUUUUCUAACCUGUUUAAUAAACAGGUCGGGUUCAGGUUUAUGAUUUUUUGACCCGACUUGCAUCUGAUCCGACCUGUUUAUGUCCGACCCAACCCGAUUGCCACCCCUAAUAAGCAAUCAUUAGCUAAUUGUUUGGCACAAAGCUUUUCUCGCCAUCUCGGGAUGGGCGUGCCAGAGAGCUUGUUUGAUAAAUCCUCGUGGCAAGUGGUAAAAAGAUGCAUAGGCAUGCCACCGGCGUUAGAGCAACCGAAAAGAGGAUAAUUGAAGGAAGGAUAUCAAACUAGCGUUUGUCCAAGUGCUUGGACCUUCAAGGACUUUUGCCAUUGUCAUAUUGCCGUUCGAAAGAAAAUGGAGAGGGAUAGGAUGUAGCCUGAGCUACGGUAGGAAAAAUAUAAGUCAUUUUGGAAUAUCAAAGUCAUUUUGAGCGGCUUGUCAAUAGAGCUUGUAAUUGGCCAAAACGGUAACUUGUUGGAACUUUUAUUGAAGGACUUUGCUCAUACAUUCAUUGUGAGAUGAAGAUGUAUAAGCCCUACAUUAUAUUGGUAGCUAUCUCUUUUGCCCGAUUAUGAAAGGAAAGACUCAUUAAAAAUACCUCAUGCUUAAACAAGAGAGUAAAUAACAAGAAAUUCGUAAAUUUCAAGAAGAUACACUCAACAACAAAUAUGUUAAGUGGCUUACACAAGAGGAUCUCAUGGACAGAAUAAGCCAAGGCAAAUGUUAGCAUUGUGAUGAAAAAUGGCAUAGAGAAAAUUGCUAGAAAAAGAUAAUUUUUCUUAUCGAACCUGCACAUAUUGACACUUCACAAGAUGAAGAAGAUGAAGAUGAUCGCCAUGUACCACCUAGACAAAUAUAAUCUUGAGAACAAGAUCAUCUAGAAGUGAAAGGGAAUGAUAUGCUUCUUAUCUUAGGAUCCUAAUUUUAAUUUGAUUUAGCACAAGAAUUAGGAGGAGUCCAAGUUUAAUAAAGAUUGGCUACAUCAUAUUCCUAUUUUGCUUUUUCUUAUUCUUGUAGGACAAUUAACUCUGAAUCUAUAUAUACGUAGUGCUCUAGACAAGCAAUGAAUUUAAUAAAAAUAGUGUAAAGGCUAUUCGAGGUCCAAAACCUCUUGAAUUGAUCGAAUACUCUUUCUUCUACCUAUAUCUCUAUUUUUCUAUUUUCUUUUGCUCGAAAUUCUAUCAAUAGUAAGUGGGUUCCUAUCAAACAGAAUACAUACACAUAUAUAUACGACUUUUCAAAAACUAGUCUCGCAUUAUAAAAAUUUCAUCAUGACAUGAAGAUGAAAUAUCUUUUUUUCGUAUCCUAACAUCGAACUAGAAAGAGGAGACUAACUGAACAAAUUUAGUUCAAUGUCGAGAAGUUAUGUAAUUUAAAAACUAUCCUUACUGCAAGGAGAGGGGAAAACCUAUGAUUUAAACCCACCCCCCACCCCAACCUUCGGGGCGUCUCAUGGCCUGCUUUCACCUGUUCUCCGAACCUAAAGCGGUGAUUUUUCACGAAGCUUGUCGAAAGAAAUCAAACAAAUGGAUUAUCGCAUUUCAAUAGUUUAAUGGGUUAUCAUCUUCGAAUCAAAAUUUACAACAAUUCAAAAAACUAGAAUAGUAUAUUAGAGAGACAGAGAGAGAGAGACCUGCCGGUCGCCGGUCCGAGGUUACAGAGGUUGAGCUUUGAGGGUGAGUCGAGAGAGAUCUGCAGCCGCCCAACAGGAACCCUAGUCCUUAAAUCCAAGGAGGCCCUUGGCAAAGCAAAUGGGCCGAGUUAAUUUUGUCUAGGGCUAAUCCCGGCUCGAUUCCGUUUAACGUGAGCUAGGAAAGGGGAUUGUGGGACAAGAUCCCGCCCCCCAGCCCCACUGGCGUCUCUAGGUUACUAGGCUCGUCUUGGAAGUUUAUUUGGAUAAUUGGGCUGAAAAUCUUAUGAAAUUUAUGGACUAAGGCCUUGUUUGGAGGAGCUUUUGAAGGGCCAAAAAGCACUUUCUAAUUGUGAAACAAUUGAAGAUGAAUGGUAAGAAAAGGAUAUGCAUAGAUGUACCUACUCGUUGGAAUUCUACAUAUCUCAUGUUAAACGAUGUUAUACAAUUCAAGGAUGUAUUUAUGCGACUUGUGGCCCGGGAUUCUAAUAAACAUUUGAAAAGCUGGGUGUUCAACUGUUGUAAAUGGCAUCUCUUGUAAAAUUACCAUCCUUUACUUCAUCUAUUUUCUCAAAAGGCCAUAAAAACAGAUUUUAAUGCAUCUAAAAGCAGAAAUUAAAAUUUUUUUCCCUAAAACGUGAUUCAAAAGAUGCAUACAAACAUAGAAAAUAAAAAUACUUUUUCUUGCACAGAAGAGAGUCUAAUCCACGGCUAGGGUUCUUUGUUAGGGCAGAUUUUUAGGUUUAUAAAGGGACAAAGUAUGUAAUUAUUAUAUUUUAUUAUGGGUAUUUUGGUGAAAAAAAGCUUUCCGACAAAGCUCAAAAUAGCUUUUUCGAAAAGCUCCAAAUUGGAGCUUUUUUUAAAAAGCUGUUUUUAGCUUUCUGAAAAAGCUAAAACAGCUUUUCCAAAAUUUUUACCAAAUAUCUUUUUUUAAUCCAAAAGUGCUUUAGGAGGGCCAGAAAGUGCUUUUUGGCCCUUCAAAAGCUCCUCCAAACAAGGCCUUAGUCCAUAAAUUUCAUAAGAUUUUCAGCCCAAUUAUCCAAAUAAACUUCCAAGACGAGCCUAGUAACCUAGAGACGCCAGUGGGGCUGGGGGGCGGGAUCUUGUCCCACAAUCCCCUUUCCUAGCUCACGUUAAACGGAAUCGAGCCGGGAUUAGCCCUAGACAAAAUUAACUCGGCCCAUUUGCUUUGCCAAGGGCCUCCUUGGAUUUAAGGACUAGGGUUCCUGUUGGGCGGCUGCAGAUCUCUCUCGACUCACCCUCAAAGCUCAACCUCUGUAACCUCGGACCGGCGACCGGCAGGUCUCUCUCUCUCUGUCUCUCUAAUAUACUAUUCUAGUUUUUUGAAUUGUUGUAAAUUUUGAUUCGAAGAUGAUAACCCAUUAAACUAUUGAAAUGCGAUAAUCCAUUUGUUUGAUUUCUUUCGACAAGCUUCGUGAAAAAUCACCGCUUUAGGUUCGGAGAACAGGUGAAAGCAGGCCAUGAGACGCCCCGAAGGUUGGGGUGGGGGGUGGGUUUAAAUCAUAGGUUUUCCCCUCUCCUUGCAGUAAGGAUAGUUUUUAAAUUACAUAACUUCUCGACAUUGAACUAAAUUUGUUCAGUUAGUCUCCUCUUUCUAGUUCGAUGUUAGGAUACGAAAAAAAGAUAUUUCAUCUUCAUGUCAUGAUGAAAUUUUUAUAAUGCGAGACUAGUUUUUGAAAAGUCGUAUAUAUAUGUGUAUGUAUUCUGUUUGAUAGGAACCCACUUACUAUUGAUAGAAUUUCGAGCAAAAGAAAAUAGAAAAAUAGAGAUAUAGGUAGAAGAAAGAGUAUUCGAUCAAUUCAAGAGGUUUUGGACCUCGAAUAGCCUUUACACUAUUUUUAUUAAAUUCAUUGCUUGUCUAGAGCACUACGUAUAUAUAGAUUCAGAGUUAAUUGUCCUACAAGAAUAAGAAAAAGCAAAAUAGGAAUAUGAUGUAGCCAAUCUUUAUUAAACUUGGACUCCUCCUAAUUCUUGUGCUAAAUCAAAUUAAAAUUAGGAUCCUAAGAUAAGAAGCAUAUCAUUCCCUUUCACUUCUAGAUGAUCUUGUUCUCAAGAUUAUAUUUGUCUAGGUGGUACAUGGCGAUCAUCUUCAUCUUCUUCAUCUUGUGAAGUGUCAAUAUGUGCAGGUUCGAUAAGAAAAAUUAUCUUUUUCUAGCAAUUUUCUCUAUGCCAUUUUUCAUCACAAUGCUAACAUUUGCCUUGGCUUAUUCUGUCCAUGAGAUCCUCUUGUGUAAGCCACUUAACAUAUUUGUUGUUGAGUGUAUCUUCUUGAAAUUUACGAAUUUCUUGUUAUUUACUCUCUUGUUUAAGCAUGAGGUAUUUUUAAUGAGUCUUUCCUUUCAUAAUCGGGCAAAAGAGAUAGCUACCAAUAUAAUGUAGGGCUUAUACAUCUUCAUCUCACAAUGAAUGUAUGAGCAAAGUCCUUCAAUAAAAGUUCCAACAAGUUACCGUUUUGGCCAAUUACAAGCUCUAUUGACAAGCCGCUCAAAAUGACUUUGAUAUUCCAAAAUGACUUAAAUUUUUCCUACCGUAGCUCAGGCUACAUCCUAUCCCUCUCCAUUUUCUUUCGAACGGCAAUAUGAUAAUGGCAAAAGUCCUUAAAGGUCCAAGCACUUGGACAAACGCUAGUUUGAUAUCCUUCCUUCAAUUAUCCUCUUUUCGGUUGCUCUAACGCCGGUGGCAUGCCUAUGCAUCUUUUUACCACUUGCCACGAGGAUUUAUCAAACAAGCUCUCUGGCACGCCCAUCCCGAGAUGGCGAGAAAAGCUUUGUGCCAAACAGUUAGCUAAUGAUUGCUUAUUAGGGGUGACAAUCGGGUUGGGUCGGACAUAAACAGGUCCGAUCAUAUGCAAGUCGGGUCAAAAAAUCAUAAACCUGAACCCGACCUGUUUAUUAAACAGGUUAGAAAAUUACAACCUGAACCUGACCUGUUUAUUAAAUGGGUAACCUGACCCGUUUAACCCGUUUAACAAACAGCUAACCCGUUUAACCCAGCCCGACUCGUUUAACCUAACCCGACCCGUUUAACUAUUGGACUUAAAUAGUUAAAUUAGAUAGUUGGCGUAUAAGCCAUGGACAGUGCCAACAAUAAAUCCACCAAUAUUAACACGGUCAAGCAAUUUUUUAAAAAAAAUAAAUUUAACCAGAAAUUAAGUAAAAAGAAAACACGGAGAGGAACAAGGGAAGGAGAGAAAUUAACAGAUUACAAUUUUUUUAUUGGAAAAAAUAAAAGAAAAUGGAAACGGGAGCCCUCAAAAUCUCUGAUCUAGGAUUCUAGGCGCCAUCCCCAAAUUUUUUUCUCUCCGGAAAUCAUCGACGGCUUCGAUUCGGGUGGGGGAAAAAAUCUGGAAGCCCUAGCCUUCGCCAUGAAUCAAACCAUAAAAAGUAAAAACCAAACCAUUUCCCUCCACCGGCAUACCUGCUGCAGCGCUGCUGGACUCCACAGUAGUCGCCGCUUUGAAGAAGAGAAAGAGCGCCCUCACGUCCUCCGCCGCUUUGAGAUCCAAGAUCCCUAAGAUCAAGAAACAGAGACAGAAAGAGAUGGCGGAAGGAAAUCAGAGAUAGCAUGACUAUACUACUAGCGGAGAAGGGGAGAGAACGCACGGAUAGGGCAGGAGACGGAGGCCGUCGCCGUGGAGAAGACAAAGCAGUCACCGUCCGCCGGCAAGUCGCGAGACGACGAAAAGCCCCAAGAAGGCGGAAGCAACGUCCUAGGAACCCGUCGAGCCGCUGCGGUCGCCGUCGACGGGGAGGCGGAAGGAGUCGGCAAGGGGGAGGAGAGGGCGGAGGUCCGGAGGAGAGGAAGACUAGGAGAGGGGAGAGGGACUGAGGGAAUGGAGCUCGGGCGGCGCUCACAAAGACACAAACCCUAAG
rnacentral:lncRNA from 1 species